GAUGAACGCUGGCGGCGUGCCUAAUACAUGCCAGUCGAGCGAACGGACGAGAAGCUUGCUUCUCUGAUGUUAGCGGCGGACGGGUGAGUAACACGUGGAUAACCUACCUAUAAGACUGGGAUAACUUCGGGAAACCGGAGCUAAUACCGGAUGAUAUUUUGAACCGCAUGGUUCAAAAGUGAAAGACGGUCUUGCUGUCACUUAUAGAUGGAUCCGCGCUGCAUUAGCUAGUUGGUAAGGUAACGGCUUACCAAGGCAACGAUGCAUAGCCGACCUGAGAGGGUGAUCGGCCACACUGGAACUGAGACACGGUCCAGACUCCUACGGGAGGCAGCAGUGGGGAAUAUUCCGCAAUGGGCGAAAGCCUGACGGAGCAACGCCGCGCGAGUGAUGAAGGUCUUCGGAUCGUAAAACUCUGUUAUUAGGGAAGAACAUAUGUGUAAGUAACUGUGCACAUCUUGACGGUACCUAAUCAGAAAGCCACGGCUAACUACGUG
rnacentral:rRNA from 1 species